GAAUUUUGUAAUACCCUAUCUCAUCUCCAAAGGUGACUGCAAUUAUGAUCACUUCAUCCCUGAUGAAACUUAGUGGAAGACUAGCCAUACAACAUAGAGAGAAAAAACUGAACAAGGCUCAGCAGGGAACAAGGAAAGAAAAGAAAACAGUACAAGGUCCAUGCAGAGAUUUUACAUUUGGUCCAUCAACCAAUGAGGCUCAGCUGGAAGAGAAGAAUGAAAUAAAAAGGAAGAUUAAUAGGGAAACAUAUUAAGCUGCCACUUAUUCCUCCCCUCCAAACUCUUGACCACAUGUUUGAUUACUAAGAACUCAUUUCGAAGAUGCUGAUCCAGCUUUCUUGAAGAUUUUAUACAAUUGCACUUCUCUUGACCUAAAAUGAUUCAGAAGCUGAAGCUAAUAGACUAAUACAGCAAAGUGUUUCAUUGAAACAGCCAUACCACUCUUAUAUACAUACUUUUAUAGUUAGUAUUCGCUUGAAAUGAAUAGCAACACAAACCAGAAUGUAUAUCUAUAAAUUUUCUGCAGGUCAGUUUAGGCAGAAUUCCCUAAAGGGUUUUUUUUUUCCCCUUAAACAACACUUGGUCUUAAAGUUCAUCAAAUCAUUUGUUUGUUUGUUUGUUUAUCAAAUUUAUAUGCCACUUAUCUCAAGGUGAAGUAUCCCAGAAAGUGAUCUCUACAGUGCACAAUUGCUGUUGUUCCUAGACUUACACUGCUAUCUUCUGGGAGUUAUAAAUGCUAGUUUCAAAACCAA